GGUAUAAGGAGAGGAUAAGGAACACAUUUCACAGAUGACCAGAUCAAAGAGUGACAGCUUGGUGGAUCCCUUUGUCUCACUUUGUUUUUCAUCUCUCUCUACCUGGCUCCUCUCUUUUUUGGACAACCAAUAAAAGUCCACUAAUCUAAUUAGGGUUUGCUUAAAGAGACAAAGUGGAGCCUCAUCUGGACUGAGUUCGAGAAAAAAACUGCUUUUUUGUGAACUGUGGUUUGGAAAAUCUCCAGUUUUGAGGGAGGAGCAGGGAUUUUGCUUAUCAUCACUGCUUCACGUCUCACCUCUUUGCUGCUUUCAGGUUUGCUCCUAUAUGGACAAGAGCUUAUCUCCGGCAUCCAAAAAGUGCUGCACUCAAGGGAAUCGCAUACGUGCAUAAGACAGACGCUCAGGUUGACUCUAGGGACACGCAACAAGUGAAAGAUAAGAAGCAACUGUAGAUUAAAGCAGGGAUUAAAAUGAAAUGAAUUAUUAAUACCUGUAGAUUAAUUGCUGGUUUCAAUCUAAUAUUUAAACCCUAGAGUAGAUCCAUACUGAGCAGCCACAUACAGCUGAUUAAUAAUGGAGAUGGAGCCGGCAGCCCACAUGUAAACAAUGUGUUUGACAUCCACUCACUCUGACAAAAACAUUACACUGUGAUAUAUCCAAAACAUGCCAAGUCAUCAUGAUGUUAGCUAUUAUAUUACAAUUGAACUCAAAGUCUAAAAUGACAGUAAAUAUGCAUUAAGAUGGGAAAGCAGAUAAUGUCACACACAUCGUCAUGCUGACACUGUAGUUUUGAACCAGCAGUUGGGUUUUGUUUGGCUUGCGGCAUGAUGGUGAGUGUGAUUUUACUACAACAAGGGUGUGGCUGCUCUCAACUUUACCACACAAGGCACGCACACACACACUGUCUUUCAGCAUUAAAGAGCCAGUGUAGUCAUAAAUCUGCGAAUCCUCACUCCUGUUCCUCUUUGUCUAUGUGUAGCAGCUGGCAAUAAGGAGUGAAAUUCACAGUAAGAUGGAGGUCAUUAUUUAAACUUAUUUCUCUGUUAUUUAAAUAUUAUGAUCUAAACUUUUAGAAAUGAGUUUUUGUUGCCACGCAGAAAAGCUUGAAUCCAUCCUGCCUUGUAUUAUAGUUCAGGCUGAAGGUGGUGGUGUAGUAAUGUAAUAAUGUGGGGGACAUUUUCUUGGUACACUUAGUAACAGCUGAGCAUCAAUUAAGAACACCACAGACUACCUGAGUAUUGGCACUGACCAUGUCCACCGCUUUAUGAUCACAGUGCUUCCAGCAGGAUAAUGCUUUCUUGAAGGUUUUUUUUAAAGAAUUGUGUCAUGGAUGCGCAAUGGAGAAAUUUGUGAUGCCAUCAUGUCAAUAUGGAUCAAAAUCUCUGAGGAAUGUGUCCAGCAACAUGUUGAAUCUAUGCCAUGAAGAAUUAAGUCAGUUAUGAAGGCAAGGUGUUAAUAGAGUGACCAGUAAGUGAAUUUUCCUGUGUGUACUCAGGCAUCACAACCUUUUGCAACUUAAAACUGCACACAAAAGACAAACAGGUCAAACGGAUAUACACUGUCAUGAUAGUAGAACUGCUUUUACUACUAGCAGUGUUAACCAAACCGGUCAGGCAAGCCAACAGGAGCCAAGUUUUUUUCUCCCUUAAAACUGUUGGGCGGAGACAUGUGCAUGGGUGACGGCACGUUCCCCUUGCUCCUCUGCAGGCAUUUCCAAACAGAUAGAGGUACUUUUCCAUCUGUAAAGCACCACAGGAAUCAGUGCCAGUAUUUUUCCUCAUGUUUUUAGUACACAGCAUAUAUAAUAGAGAAUGUAAAGGUAUGACACAGAGGCGGAAAUAAAAUAUUAGUUUUAGUUUCGAAGAGUUUGACGUGGGCUCUCCAGGAAUUGUGUGUGCAGUACAUGUGUUGGUAAACAGAUGCACUUGUCUACCUUUGCACUCAGGUCUGUGCUUAUAAUUGUUAGAACACUAUGACCUUGUAGGUGCAGCUCAGUAUGUACUCUUGUGUGCGUGCAGACCGGGAUAAAACAUUUACAGUCAUGGCCAUAAAUCAUGUCAUGCAGGUGGCGAUUAAAUUUGCAUUACAGGCCAUAAAACUCCGGGUGUGUGCUGAAUAUUAUCAGCAGGGACUUGAGUGUUUAUAUAUGUAAUAAAAUUAUUGUUCCAUGAUAAAUCUGCAGUGAUAAUUCCACCCUGAUCCCAGCAGAUAACAACUGAGGAAUAUGCACAGAUUACUUCACCUUUGUUUUGUUUUUUUUACCUUGGUGUUAAUAAGCAUGACUUCCCUCUUGAUGAGCAUUUAAAUGCAGAUUCACUUCCUUUUAUUGUGGCUUACAGUAACUGGUUCCGUAUGUUUUAUUACAGUUUGUCGCGGUUAAGGUGCUCAAGGUAUUCACAAACACUGUGCACUACAUAUGUAACCCACCAAAACGUAUAACUCAUUCACUCAGUUGUUAAUUUCAUGUCAAAAACUAUCUCAGUCUAACUUCAGUUUUUAAAUAUUGCUACUGUAGCUAAUUUGGUCAAAUCCUAACUCACCUUCCUCUUCUUACAGUAUUUAUUUAUUUAUUUUUUAUUUCUCAAACCCUUCCUGACCUCUGCCCCUGAACCACUCCAGCCUCAACUGACCUUUAGUCAGUAUUCUUCUGGAAACCACCCUGACCCACAAACCACUCUGGAUCACUUGCCUCUGGCUCCUCACUUCCCCUCUCAGCUCAACCUGUACCUACUUGGUUCAACUCGACUCUACUCAGUUUUGAGCGUCUUCCAUUACUGUCGAGUACCACCGCUAUGUACUUGGGGUCGUUACAGCAAUGUGGCCGAAAGUCCCGUGACAUCAUUUGUAUGUGACACAAUGCAACAAUGGAGGAAAUGGAGGUGAUGGUAUACCUGCUGCAUAACCAAUGGUCAGGAUGUAUUUUGGUUCUUUCUGAGUGGAAACUGCCUGGAAGGAGACCCUUCCCCGGAGGCAGCUCUCUGAGCCACCAACAGCCAAAUUGUAUAAAAGGACAGAGUCUGUGUUUGUACAAGUGUUUCACAUAAGACCAGUCCCAGACAUAUUUCUGAAUGAGGCGAAGUGACGGAUGAUUUUCGGAAUCCCAACUUUUCCCUCUGUGAAGGGUCCAGCCAGAUCUUCAGACACCUGCCUCACUUCUCAGGAAUUUAUCUGCAGACACCACUGUGCUACGUUCAUAUCCAUGUAUCACUAUCUACGCUUAAGUUCUAAUUUUGUUAUGUUUGCACGGACAACUCAUUAAUAACAAACACCAACAUGAUGCACAGUUAUGGCUGCCUGGAAAUUAUUAAUGCAACCCGUGAUACUUCAAGCAUUAGACCACCCUCUCCCAUGUUUAUUUGACAUUUCAACACCUAAUUGAUUGUAAAAGCUGCUGAAAUGUAAACUGCAUUUUUGCAUGUCGGGCCAGGUUUUCUGUUUACUACUGUAGCCCUCUCUUCAUAUCUCUGGGUUUGGAAGAGGAGACAGAAAGCUAUGAGCAAUGACCACAUUGAGGAUCUACUGUAUACUAAUUGAUAACAUGUGUAUAGGGAGGUAAUGUGAUACUAGGCUUGUGUACAACCCAAACACAGGCCACCUGCUGUGGUUUUGGAGAGAGACGAGUUCAUCUCCCACCACAGUGGAGGCCAUUCUGAUUCGAGCGGUUCACACGAGGACACGCUGGCCAGAGUCCAUAAGUCAAUCAAUCAGCGUGUUGAGUCCAGAGUUGAAAAGCUUUGGCUGGAGUGGCUGCUUUUGCAGCAGCAGGAGAAAAUGUCUACUUCCAAGAUGAAACUUUAGAGGAGGGAGAAGACUGUAAUUAAUCACUGUUUCUAAAAUAAAG
ensembl:lncRNA